rnacentral:rRNA from 1 species
UACGGGGGGAGCAAGCGUUGUUCGGAUUUACUGGGCGUAAAGGGCGCGUAGGCGGCGCAACAAGUCACUUGUGAAAUCUCCGGGCUUAACCCGGAGCGGCCAAGUGAUACUGUCGUGCUAGAGUGCGGAAGGGGCUACUGGAAUUCUCGGUGUAGCGGUGAAAUGCGUAGAUAUCGAGAGGAACACCUGCGGCGAAGGCGGGUAGCUGGGCCGACACUGACGCUGAGGCGCGAAGGCCAGGGGAGCGAACGGG